AAGAGCUUGAGAUGUUGGCACGCACAGAAGAACAAAGUACUUUGAGAACCGUUGCCAGUGUUAUGAAAGAGGAUUACCAGAAUUGUAUGUUCAAUCAAUUGAGGCAUGUUAAGAUUGCUGGUAUAACUGGGCUUAAACAAGAGCUAAAUUUCGUCAAUUUUCUGCUUUCAAAUUCACCUGUUCUUGAAAGAAUGACAGUCAAGCCAGCUUCAGUUGACGGUGCAUGGGAGAUGCUAAAAGAGUUGCUACGCUUCAGGAGAGCUUCUGUACAAGCUGAAAUCGUUUACGUUGACCCAUAAUUAAGCUGGGCAGCCUGUGGUCUAGUAAGAUCUAGGCGUAUUUACUAUAUUAGUUUAGCAUCUAGUGUAGAAACUAA
rnacentral:misc_RNA from 1 species